rnacentral:rRNA from 1 species
AAUGAACGCUGGCGGUAGGCCUAACACAUGCAAGUCGAACGGCAGCACAGUAAGAGCUUGCUCUUACGGGUGGCGAGUGGCGGACGGGUGAGGAAUAUAUCGGAAUCUACUUUUUCGUGGGGGAUAACGUAGGGAAACUUACGCUAAUACCGCAUACGACCUACGGGUGAAAGCAGGGGAUCUUCGGACCUUGCGCGAUUGAAUGAGCCGAUGUCGGAUUAGCUAGUUGGCGGGGUAAAGGCCCACCAAGGCGACGAUCCGUAGCUGGUCUGAGAGGAUGAUCAGCCACACUGGAACUGAGACACGGUCCAGACUCCUACGGGAGGCAGCAGUGGGGAAUAUUGGACAAUGGGCGCAAGCCUGAUCCAGCCAUACCGCGUGGGUGAAGAAGGCCUUCGGGUUGUAAAGCCCUUUUGUUGGGAAAGAAAAGCAGCAGGUUAAUACCCCGCUGUUCUGACGGUACCCAAAGAAUAAGCACCGGCUAACUUCGUG